rnacentral:rRNA from 1 species
GACGAACGCUGGCGGCGUGCUUAACACAUGCAAGUCGAACGGAAAGGCCCUGCUUUUGUGGGGUGCUCGAGUGGCGAACGGGUGAGUAACACGUGAGUAACCUGCCCUUGACUUUGGGAUAACUUCAGGAAACUGGGGCUAAUACCGGAUAGGAGCUCCUGCUGCAUGGUGGGGGUUGGAAAGUUUCGGCGGUUGAGGGAUGGACUCGCGGCUUAUCAGCUUGUUGGUGGGGUAGUGGCUUACCAAGGCUUUGACGGGUAGCCGGCCGGAGGGGGUGACCGGACACAUUGGGACUGAGAUACGGCCCAGACUCCGACGGGAGGCAGCAGUGGGGAAUAUUGCACAAUGGGCGGAAGCCUGAUGCAGCAACGCCGCGUGCGGGAUGACGGCCUUCGGGUUGUAAACCGCUUUCGCCUGUGACGAAGCGUGAGUGACGGUAAUGGGUAAAGAAGCACCGGCUAACUACGUGCCAGCCGCCGCAGUAA